rnacentral:snRNA from 1 species
UUGUUGAGAUAGUGGCACAUACAAUAAAAUUGGAAAGAUAUAGAGAUUAGCAUGAACCCCUGCACAAAGAUGACACGCAUUCAUGAAACUGUCCAUAAAGAA